rnacentral:rRNA from 1 species
AAUGAACGUUGGCGGCGUGGAUUAGGCAUGCAAGUCGUGCGGUAAGGCCCCUUCGGGGGUACACGAGCGGCGUAAGGGAGAGUAACGCGUGGACAACCUACCCUCGGGUCCGGGAUAGCUGCGGGAAGCUGCAGGUAAUACCGGAUAACAUCUCCGGAUCAAAGGUGUGAUUCCGCCUGGGGACGGGUCCGCGUCCUAUUAGCUUGUUGGUGAGGUAACGGCUCACCAAGGCAACGAUGGGUACCGGGCGUGAGAGCGUGACCCGGCUCACUGGGACUGAGACACUGCCCAGACACCUACGGGUGGCUGCAGUCGAGAAUCUUCGGCAAUGGGCGCAAGCCUGACCGAGCGACGCCGCGUGUGGGAUGAAGGCCUUCGGGUUGUAAACCGCUGUCAGUUGGGAGGAAAUGCCAUGGGGUUCUCUCCAUGGUUUGACCUAUCUUCAGAGGAAGUCCGGGCUAAGUUCGUG